UACGUAGGGGGCAAGCGUUGUCCGGAAUCAUUGGGCGUAAAGAGCGUGUAGGCGGCCAGAUAAGUUCGCUGUGAAAUCUCGAGGCUCAACUUCGAGCUGUCGGUGGAAACUGUCUGGCUAGAGUCCGGAAGAGGAGAAUGGAAUUCCUGGUGUAGUCGGUGAAAUGCGCAGAUAUCAGGAGGAACACCGGUGGCGAAGGCGGAUCUCUGGGCCUUACCUGACGCUCAGGCGCGAAAGCUAGGGGAGCGAACAGG
rnacentral:rRNA from 1 species